CCUACGGGAGGCAGCAGUGGGGAAUUUUGCGCAAUGGGCGAAAGCCUGACGCAGCAACGCCGCGUGAGUGAUGAAGGCUUUCGGGUCGUAAAGCUCUGUCGAUGGGAAAGAAGUGUAAGGUGGUUAAUACCCGCUUUACUUGACGGUACCCAUAAAGGAAGCACCGGCUAACUCCGUGC
rnacentral:rRNA from 1 species